rnacentral:rRNA from 1 species
UACGUAGGGUGCAAGCGUUAAUCGGAAUUACUGGGCGUAAAGCGUGCGCAGGCGGUUUCGUAAGUCUGUCGUGAAAUCCCCGGGCUUAACCUGGGAAUGGCGAUGGAGACUGCGAGGCUAGAGUUUGGCAGAGGGGGGUAGAAUUCCACGUGUAGCAGUGAAAUGCGUAGAGAUGUGGAGGAACACCGAUGGCGAAGGCAGCCCCCUGGGUCAAAACUGACGCUCAUGCACGAAAGCGUGGGGAGCAAGCGGG